rnacentral:misc_RNA from 1 species
AGCAGCCGCGGUAAUUCCAGCUCCAAUGGCGUAUAUUAAAGUUGUUGCAGUUAAAAGCUCGUAGUUGAAUUUUGGAUUCUUCCAAUUGGUCCAUCUUUUAGAUGAGUACUGGUUGUGUGGGGUCUAUCCGCCUGGUGAUACGUAAUGUCCUUUAUUGGAUGUUGCGGGUAGUCAGGACCUUUACCUUGAAAAAUUGAGUGUUUAAAGCAGGCUUAUGCCGGAAUACAUUAGCAUGGAAUAAUAGAAUAGGACGAAGUUGUUUUAUUUUGUUGGUUUCUAGGACAACCGUAAUGAUUAAUAGGGAUAGUUGGGGGCAUUAGUAUUCAAUUGUCAGAGGUGAAAUUCUUGGAUUUAUUGAAGACUAACUACUGCGAAAGCAUUUGCCAAGGAUGUUUUCAUUAAUCAAGAACGAAGUUAGGGAUCGAAGACGAUACAGAUACCGUCGUAGUCUUAACCAUAAACUAUGACCGACUAGGGAUCGGGACGAUGUUGUUUCCAUGACUCGCUCGGCACCUUAGAC